rnacentral:rRNA from 1 species
CCUACGGGUGGCAGCAGUGAGGAAUAUUGGUCAAUGGCCGGAAGGCUGAACCAGCCAAGCCGCGUGAAGGACGAAGGUGCCAAGCAUUGUAAACUUCUUUUGUCAAGGGACAAAAUCAGGCUCGAGCGCCUGACCGAGGGUACUUUAAGAACAAGCAUCGGCUAACUCCGUGCCAGCAGCCGCGGUAAUACGGGGGAUGUGAGCGUUAUCCGGAUUUAUUGGGUUAAAAGGGUGCGUAGGCGGACUGUUAAGUCAGCGGUAAAAGCCCGGGGCUCAACCACGGCGAGCCGUUGAAACUGGCUGGCUUGAGAGGUCGAGAGGUAGGCGGAAUGCGCAGUGUAGCGGUGAAAUGCGUAGAUAUUGCGCAGAACUCCGAUUGCGAAGGCAGCAUACCGGAGGCGAUCUGACGCUGAGGCACGAAAGCGUGGGUAUCGAACAGGAUUAGAUACCCCUGUAGUC